GGACUUGUGAACUCUAAUCGUGCUAUCGCACUACCAUUCUUUCCUUGUAUAACAAAUUUUGAGGGGCAUUUUCUAUGAGAAAUAGAGAGAGACGUGAGAAACCAACAUACUUUUUCUUCAACAUAGUGAAAGCUGCAGUAGAUCUCAUAUUGAGCGUGAACCAUUACAUCUGUGUGCUUCUGAUUUCUAUUUGCUUGUUUUUGCCACAGAAUUGGGGAUUAGAACUUAUUUCAUAACAAAACUUAAGCGGGCGGAUUAAAGGAAAAAACUUGAGCUAUUAGAGAGGGAAGAACAAAGUUAUUUAUGUAAAUUUAGUAUUUUCCAGUCCAUGAAUUUCAUUUUGUUAUAACUUCAUCCUACUUCUUGACAGGUCUCGAGAAAAUCAUAUGAGAGGUUAAGACAAGGCAGUAAUGCAUAAAUGACAAAUCUCCAACUGAAAUAACGAUACUUUGCACUAGCUGUACAAGAUGAAGUAUAGAAACCUCUCAAAUUUCGUGUUGGAUACUAAGUUUGCCAUACCUAUGUGACAAAUCUCCAACUGAAAUAACGAUACUUUGCACUAGCUGUACAAGAUGAAGUAUAGAAACCUCUCAAAUUUCGUGUUGGAUACUAAGUUUGCCAUACCUAUGUGACAAAUCUCCAACUGAAAUAACGAUACUUUGCACUAGCUGUACAAGAUGAAGUAUAGAAACCUCUCAAAUUUCGUGUUGGAUACUAAGUUUGCCAUACCUAUACGUCUGAUACAUUGUAAUGAACAGAACUGAACAGUAAGAAUAGAUAUGAUUUUAAUUAUUUUUCAUCUUUAAUAGUGUUAAGUACUAUACAUAUCAAGUUGUGAAACGAGCACUUCGUGCACUAAAGUAACUCUCAUGUUUGCC
rnacentral:lncRNA from 1 species